AUGGAGGAGGGCUCGCAAUUGCAGUUGCACAGCAUAUUGCCGCUGUUCCUAAUAAGCACUCGGGAAAUACUGGAGUCACAAAUGAGCCAUAGUGUCGUGGUGUGGUGCCCUGGCAGCGGCAACUUUAAUGUGCGGAACCCGUUAGAUUUUCCGCACGACAUACUGCCCAACGGAGCACAAAAUGAUGAGGUGGUUGUUGCACCCGUCAAUCUGAAACUGAGCAAAUGGACUCAACUUUCUAGCAUUUUGAGGGUUACAGAUAUAGAACCAACAUACGAGAAAUAUAUUUUUUUAAAUGGCUUCAACUGA
rnacentral:rRNA from 1 species